rnacentral:rRNA from 1 species
AACGAACGCUGGCGGCAGGCUUAACACAUGCAAGUCGAGCGGAGUGAUGGUGCUUGCACUAUCACUUAGCGGCGGACGGGUGAGUAAUGCUUAGGAAUCUGCCAUUUAGUGGGGGACAACAUUCCGAAAGGAAUGCUAAUACCGCAUACGUCCUGAGGGAGAAAGCGGGGGAUCUUCGGACCUCGCGCGAUUGGAGCGGCCGAUGUCAGAUUAGCUAGUUGGUGGGGUAAAGGCCUACCAAGGCAACGAUCUGUAGCUGGUCUGAGAGGAUGAUCAGCCACACUGGGACUGAGACACGGCCCAGACUCCUACGGGAGGCAGCAGUGGGGAAUUUUGGACAAUGGGGGCAACCCUGAUCCAGCCAUUCCGCGUGAGUGAAGAAGGCCUUCGGGUUGUAAAGCUCUUUCGGCAGGAACGAAACGGCGAGCUCUAACAUAGCUUGCUAAUGACGGUACCUGAAGAAGAAGCACCGGCUAACUACGUGCCAGCCGCCGCCGUAACAC